ACUGGGAUAGCUCAGCUGGUAGAGAAUGAGACUCUUGAUCUCAGGGCCGUUGAUUCGAGCGCCACUUUGGGUG